rnacentral:rRNA from 1 species
AAACUUUCAACAACGGAUCUCGUGGCUCUUGCAUCGAUGAAGAACGCAGCGAAUUGCGAUAAGUAGUGUGAAUUGCAGAAUUCCGUGAAUCAUCGAAUCUUUGAACGCAUAUUGCACUCCUUGGUAUUCCGAAGAGUAUGCCUGUUUGAGGGUCA